rnacentral:ncRNA from 2 species
UAGAUUCAUUACCUCCGAGCCCUGCAACCUGGGAUGCUAGAUUAUGGUUGCUGUGGCCGAUAGGGUUUACCUGGAAACGGGUAGGCCUCCCGUGUGGAAAGGAUGGUAGGUUUAAUAGCC